rnacentral:rRNA from 1 species
AUUGAACGCUGGCGGCAUGCCUUACACAUGCAAGUCGAACGGUAACAGGUUAAGCUGACGAGUGGCGAACGGGUGAGUAAUGUAUCGGAACGUGCCCAGUCGUGGGGGAUAACUGCUCGAAAGAGCAGCUAAUACCGCAUACGACCUGAGGGUGAAAGCGGGGGAUCGCAAGUCCUCGCGCGAUUGGAGCGGCCGAUAUCAGAUUAGGUAGUUGGUGAGGUAAAGGCUCACCAAGCCGACGAUCUGUAGCUGGUCUGAGAGGACGACCAGCCACACUGGGACUGAGACACGGCCCAGACUCCUACGGGAGGCAGCAGUGGGGAAUUUUGGACAAUGGGCGCAAGCCUGAUCCAGCCAUGCCGCGUGCGGGAAGAAGGCCUUCGGGUUGUAAACCGCUUUUGUCAGGGAAGAAAAGGUUCUGGCUAAUACCUGGGAAUCAUGACGGUACCUGAAGAAUAAGCACCGGCUAACUACGUG